rnacentral:rRNA from 1 species
GUGAAUCAUUGACUAUUUGAACGCAUUGCACCGCCCUUUUGGGAGUGGUACACCCGAUUGAGUGUCAUAAUGACCUUCAGGCUGGGAUACUUGGUCAUUCGAUUGGCAGGUAUAUGGAUGUUGCACACCAUCUCUUAUCCAGGUGGCAGAGGUGUCUGUAUACAAGUAUCUUGGGCUCUGGCUUCGAGGCUGCACGGUAUGUGAAUAUCGCGUGUCUUGAGAUGCAUUAGUGAUGACCAUGAGAGCGAGUCAGACUCUGUGUAAUAAUGAUGUGACGCAGAGGAGUGCUUGGGGCACACUUGUUCCUUGUGGCAUGGCUUCAAACUUGCCCCCGGGCAAAACACCCGCAGAGGCACUUGCCCGCGCGACAUUAUGAAAUUGGCCUCAGUUGGGUGGGAUGACCCGCUUGAUUUAAGCAUAUUAUUCAGCGGAGGAAAAGA